rnacentral:rRNA from 1 species
CCUACGGGAGGCUGCAGUGAGGAAUAUUGGUCAAUGGACGAGAGUCUGAACCAGCCAAGUAGCGUGAAGGAUGACUGCCCUAUGGGUUGUAAACUUCUUUUAUAUGGGAAUAAAACAGGGUAUGCAUACCCUCUUGUAUGUACCAUAUGAAUAAGGAUCGGCUAACUCCGUGCCAGCAGCCGCGGUAAUACGGAGGAUCCGAGCGUUAUCCGGAUUUAUUGGGUUUAAAGGGAGCGUAGGUGGAUUGUUAAGUCAGUUGUGAAAGUUUGCGGCUCAACCGUAAAAUUGCAGUUGAAACUGGCAGUCUUGAGUACAGUAGAGGUGGGUGGAAUUCGUGGUGUAGCGGUGAAAUGCUUAGAUAUCACGAAGAACUCCGAUUGCGAAGGCAGCUUACUGGACUGCAACUGACACUGAUGCUCGAAAGUGUGGGUAUCAAACAGGAUUAGAUACCCCUGUAGUC